AAGAUUAAGCCAUGCAUGUCUAAGUAUAAGCAAUCUAUACAGUGAAACUGCGAAUGGCUCAUUAAAUCAGUUAUCGUUUAUUUGAUGAUACCUUACUACUUGGAUAACCGUGGUAAUUCUAGAGCUAAUACAUGCAUUAAAGUCCCGACCUCUGGAAGGGAUGUAUUUAUUAGAUAAAAACCAAAUGUCUUCGGACUCCUUGGUGAUUCAUAGUAACUUAACGAAUCGCAU
rnacentral:rRNA from 1 species